rnacentral:misc_RNA from 1 species
UUUUUUUUCAACCCUAUAUAAAUAGGCAAAGUACCCCAAUUCUUUAUUUGAUCAAAAUUAUAAAGACACAUCACCCAAAGCUUUCCCAGGAGUGACAAAAUCCAGAGAAGCAGUACAAAAGAAGUGACAAAAAUGACAAGGGGAAAAAAAAAAACUAGAGGAUUUUCUAAUCAUACAUCAUCUCUCAGUAGAUUGUGAAAGUGAAGUCUAGAUGAGGGCUUGGAUACCAAGUUGCUGCAUCUCUCUUAGCUUCCAUAUUGGGUAGAUAGCGCCUUCCCCGAGUUCUUCUGGAUCUACUUGUUGCAUAGCCCAUGCAUAGUAAACAGUGUGGAUUGUAUCCUUGCCCCCUUCUGUUAUUGCACCAUUUCGAUCACGUACACAGUGGACUUGCUGUGUUUGGAACGCUACAAUAAUUAUUGGGGAGGUUCCCAUCAUUUUGGUCUCUCUUACUUCGACCUCUGAUACAUGUAGAAUCUUGUUAUCAAAAAAUAUACCAUGGCUCUGAAAAGCCUUGUGCUCUGCCUCACAACGAGUAAUGACUUCAGGGCUGCAGUACUUCUUCAAAGUUUCCAAGUCUCCCUUCAUGUAAGCAAUAAGGACAGGUCUAACAGCUUCCUGAACUUCAGCCACAAAAUCCAUUAAAGAGAAUGAUGGAUCUCGACGACGUAUUUCCUUCAAUGAUGCCGCGGCAUCGGUUUCUUGAAAGAUAGUAUCACUAACAUCCUGAAUUUUGUGAACAAUAGGAUUAUCACUGGUCUCCCAUCUUUCCCGCAUGUCCUCUGCUAUCUCUUGACUCUUGGUUACAACAGGCUCACUAAAGCCAGCAAAAUGCUUGAAUAAAGGAUGGCCUUGCAUCUUUUUUCUAAAUGCCUCCCAUUUUUUACUCCAUCGAGACUGCUUUGUGGGUAGAACAGCAAUGUCAGUUCUUGUGCUUGUUUCACCUUUGAAGGAAGGAGGGGGGGUAAAUUCCAGGUGUUUUCUCUUACUAGGAUUACCAUAUAACUCAUCCUUCACAACAUCAUACCCCUUCUUCACAAAGUCGGUGACCUUUGCUUCCUUCAAUCUCUGGAAGGCUAAAGAUACCUUUGAGGAAGGUACACUUGACUUAAAUUUUCCAAAAAUAGUCUCUGCAUUAUCUCCAGUCCCAGUUCGUUUGUCUGUCUCUUGACCAGAUGCGGCCUUCAUAUCAUCUUUUACAUCUGCACCAUCUUUAUCUGAAGUGCCAGUGGACUCAGAAGACUCUUCCGUCCCACUUUUAAAAGUUUCUUUGACCUCCUCUUUUGCAGCUGAAAUCUUCUCUUUAACAUUGGCAGAAACCUUUUUUGCUGUAGCUUCAGCCUCUGUCCAAACACCAUCCACAUGCUUGUACAGCUUCUCAGUUGUCCGCUUCGUUCUAACUUUCAGCUCAUCUUUCGCUCCUUUCAGUUCUUCUGCUUUCUCCUUCAGCUCCUUGACUGACUGUUGAAAUUCUUGAUUUCUAGUGGCCUCUCCUUUUACUUUCUUGGACAAUUCAUUGAAUACACCAAAUUGACGAUAACCCGAGUACCCAUUUGUCGAUGGCAACCGUAAUCUCGCACUUGAACCCUGUUGAGACGUUAGGUGAAGAAAAAGGGGCUGCCUAUAAAGGAACAAAUCUCGAACCAGCUUCCUACUAGCCAUUAAAAUUUUCCCGAGAAAUGAAGGGGUUUAUAUUUAGAGUUGAUGCUGGGUAGCUAUUUUAUAUCAUAGAUUUUCCUCCCAGAGAAAGGAAGGAGAAUGACAGGAUGUUUAGUUUUCGUUUCAACCAAACAAGCG